AAAUAAAUAUGUAGCAGCUAUAUAACUCAGUUUGAGUUAACAAACCACACACAGAACCGUUUGAAUUCUCUCUUCAUUUAUAACUUUGUGAACAUUUAACACAAUUUCAAACGUUGUCGUAUAUUUGAAGUUUAGGCUAAGUUAAAGAUGCUGAACUCGACUGAAGGCACCGCCAUCACUAAGAGCGAGCAAAGAUCACAUCAGCGUCUCAACUCUUCUCUGUUCUGGCCCCGCGUUGGUGGAACGAACUCCCUGCUUCCAGAGACUCAAGACUCACCUGUUCAGAGUUCACCUGGGCUGUGCAUAGCCUCCACCUUACACUUUAUAUAUCUACAGAAAUAUAGACUAAUAUAUAUUGACAAAUUUAUAUUUACAAAUAUAUAUCUACAGAUAUAUAUUGACAAAUGUAUAUCUACAAAUAUAAAAAAUAUAUGUAUCAACAAAAAUAUAUACAAAUACGUGUCGGAAUAUAUAUAUAUAUAUAUAUAUAUAUAUAUAUAUAUAUAUAUACUUUCAGGAGCAGAACUCCGGACCAAAGCUCCACAUACCAGCACUGUAUCGUAGGACUGAAGGUGUCAUACCACGGAGUAGUGUCUGAUAAUACUACAGUAGUACUGUACCGUAGGACUGAAGGUGUCAUACCACGGAGUAGUGUCUGAUAAUACUACAGUAGUACUGUAUCGUAGGACUGAACGUGUCAUACCACGGAGUGUCGUGUGAUAAUACUACAGAGUAUCGCAACACUACGGACUGAAGAUGAACGUGAUGCUGGCAGUGAAGCAGUACGUCACCAGGAUGAUCGAGGACAGCGGGCCGGGCAUGAAGGUCCUGCUGAUGGACAAGGACACGGUAGGACCUGUUCCACCAGGAGCUCCUGAGCAGAAGAGGACCUCAAACACAUAGAAGAGCACCUCAAACACAUAGAAGAGCACCUCAAACACAUAGAAGAGGACCUCAAACACAUAGAAGAA
ensembl:lncRNA